UACGUAGGGUGCAAGCGUUGUCCGGAAUUAUUGGGCGUAAAGAGCUCGUAGGCGGUCUGUCGCGUCGGAUGUGAAAAUCCAGGGCUCAACCCUGGACCUGCAUUCGAUACGGGCAGACUAGAGUUCGGCAGGGGAGACUGGAAUUCCUGGUGUAGCGGUGAAAUGCGUAGAUAUUGGGAAGAACACCGGUGGCGUAGGCGACUAGCUGGGCCAUAACUGACACUGAGGAACGAAAGCCAGGGUAGCGAAUGGG
rnacentral:rRNA from 1 species